CCUCCCGAGUUCAAGAGAUUCUCCUGCCUCAGCCUCCCGAGUAGCUGGGAUUACAGUGUCCCACAAGCCUACGAGAGAGCAUGGUUCGCAGUAAGCACUCAUUUGUCGAGUGAAUGAAUGGAUGAGCAGAGGACUUGACAAAAUCUCCAACUCAGAGAAGCGACAGCAGAGAACACACUCACCAGGGCAGCCAUCACAGCACAGGCCAGGCUGGAGUGCAAUGGCACAAUCUCAGCUCACUGCAACUUCCAACUCCUGGGUUCAAGCGAUUCUCCUGCCUCAGCCUCCCGAGUCACUGGGAUUACAGGUAUGCACCACCACACCCGGCUACCUUUUGUAUUUUUUGUAGAGACAGAGUUUCACCAUGUUGGCCAGGCUGGUCUCGAACUCCUAACCUCAGAUGAUCCGCCCUCCUGGGCCUCCCAAAGUGCUGGGAUUACAGGCAUGAGCCAUUGCACCUGGCCUUACCAUGCAUGUUUUAAACACAUACCCAUCAAUGACAAGAUCGGGGAUGUGAAUGGCUUGGAGGCAUUUGCAUAGUAGUGGAGGCACUAGGUGAGCAGACAUAAAGAAGACAAUGGCAGUUCUCAAUAUUCACCAUCACGGCUUUGAAAUCCCGGUCAACCUGCCCCUCUCUGUCUCUGGCAUUCAUUGACACGGGCUUUCCCUGGCCUGGGAUCCCAUCCCAACACACACGACAGAAAACAGUGCAAAACAACACAGAUGCUGAAUUUACACAAUGUACAACUCUGAACUGAGAAAGUGCAAGGAGACCACAGGAAUGGAAGUGGGUAGGGGUGGGGAGGAUGGGCACCAGGCUGGCGUCCUGACAGCCACACCUGGGUGCAGGCCACGUGUCCUCAUGGCCAAGGUAACCGGGUGUCUCAGGCACUUAAUAAAUAUUAAGGGUGACCAGAGACUCAGGCUCUCCCUCUGGGAAGUGGCAUCAUUUGGUGAAUGAGUUUGGUCUCAGUGCCACCACGGAUUCAGCCAGAUCAGUUCCGACGCCAUGAAUCCCUUUCCUGGUUUGAGGAAGGUACAAGCCCAGCUUGAAAGACACCGGGUGGGUCCUGAUUCGGGGGUGACAGGGCAAAGGCUAACUUGGCUGUUGAGCAAGGCUUGCGUAGAAGAGGUAAACACGUUGACUCCUGAGUUUAAGGGUUCGGCUUAGAGACUGGUGGACGAGGCAGGGCCAGGGGUCCCGUUGGUGACAUCUGCUGUCGUGUGUUGAAAGCCACUUGCUUCUCUGGACCUGACAUCCCCUGCCCUUUCAUCUUUCACGUUUGAGGAUUGUGUCACAGUGGAGAGAAACUCAAAACUUCCAAAUGGACAUGUCAUCCUGGUGCCCCUGGGCCUGUUUCUCUCCUCCUUCACAAGUAAAGAAAGCAAAAAUCCCAGCCCAAGCCACUGCAUGGACACUGUCCGAAGCCUGUUCUGCCUCCCAGAUGAAUAAAUAUAUAAAACAAAGCUCUGGCAGGCAAUGCUUUGGUCUUCUCUGUCUUUGACUAAAACGAGGCCGGCGAGGUCUCAGGAAGCGUUCUGGGCAGGGACGGACUCCAGGGACUCCAGGCAGAUGUUCACGCCACGUCAUCCUCCAGACUGACCAUCUGUCUCUGCCAACAAAUGGUAAACAGCGGAAACGAUCAGUCCAGCAUUCAGGAAACUCGGCCGGAGGCCACCUACUUCUCACCUCCUGGGCUCCGCAGCCUCCCACAUCCUGAUCCCUCAGCAUGUUCCCCCAGGAGCCGCCAGAGGGAGACGAAACAGGGUUUCGCCAUGUUGCCCAGGUUGGUCUCGAAGCCCUAAGCCCAAGCGAUCCACCCAUCUCAGCCUCCCAAAGUGCUCGGAUUACAGGCAUGAGCCACGGCGCCCAGCCUCCAACGUCGCCCAGAGCUGCAGGAGAGAAGCAAGAGUGAGGCCCAGGUCUAAAGGAAGACCACCAAGAAAUGGAGCAGGCAGAGGAUGGCAGUCACGGCCAGGAAAGUGCCCAGCACGUCUCCCUGGGCACUUGGAGAAUUUCCCGAGUCUGCGAGACGCCACACGGGCUUAUUUGUGAGUUACCAAAGUUGUGGGACUCAAUUCCAGUUUAAGAAGGCUUUUUUUUGGGAGGAUAGAAAUAGGGGUCUGGCUAUGUUGCCCAGGCUGGUCUUGAACUCAAGUGAUCCUCCUGUCUCAGCCUUCCAAAGUGUGGGGAUUACAGGCAUGAGGCACCGAGCCCAGCCUAAGAAGGUUCUUGAGCCUCACGUUCAUGAGUCUUUAGGGCAGGGUCGCAGAGGCUUUCAUUCCAGGAGGUUGACAAGGUCGUGGGUGAAAUUUUCGUCAACUUAUCUCUGCAUUUUAUUAAAAUGAGCAUAUUUUGG